GGCAGCAACACGUGCCAUCCUGUCUCCUUGGAGUGGAAGUUCAUGUGACCUUGGCUGGUGAAUGAGAGCACAGACUCCACUCUGGCUGUGAGUUUUGGCAUGUGGGGCUAUGGCAGUGACCGGGCAGGACAGAGCUCUAUACAUCCUGCUUACCAGGAGGUUGGGAGCCACUGUGGGACUCUGAGAAGCUUACCAUGAACAAGUUAGUAUUCCAGGGAAAACCUUGCCCUGGAGGAUAGGCACAGGGAGGUCAGCUGGAAGUGCCUCUGGAAGUGGUAAGCUCUUGACAUGUGCUCAAGGCUCUCUGGUUUGAGAAACUAUAAUAAAUACUGGACAUAAAUAGGAAUCAUCUUGAAUGGCAGGUCAGCUUUAUCUCUUUUGCUCUGCAUUUUGAUGACUAUCUUAUUUUCACACUCUGAAGUGUCAUCAUAUUGUGGAACCCCUCCAUUCAAUAGAAAGGGCAGGACUCUGGAAUUCCGGCCCAGCUAGUAUUCCAGUGUCAGCUCCCUGGCUUGAAGGCCACCAUGCUACACGAUGUUCUGUGAGCUUCUCCUGGGUUUGUGAUCCAGUCCAGGACAGGCAGGCUCCAUGGAAUGCAGGGGUGCUGUUAGGCUCCAUCUCUGAACUGAGGCGCUGUUGGGCAGAGAAGAUAACCUGGGGAAAUGCUCCCAACAAAUCAAAAUUUCUCACUUAAAAGUUGUACGGAUUCCUUAAAGGGCACCAGCUGUUUGCAGAGUAAAGGGUUUAAAAUCUUGUGACAUAAUUAAAGGUACUCGGCCCGUUUUACCAAUUAUGUCAGAGUAAAGCAACCACACUCACCACCGACCGUUGAAAGCCGCUGUUUUCUGUUCACCUCUGUACUUCUCAACUCCUGGAAAAUGAGCUCUUGCUGUUGCUGUUGCAUUUCUCCUCGUAACACAAGUGCGGUGGAGUGAAACGAGCUGCAAAAGCCCCAACAGUUACAUGUGGAUUUUUAUGUAAAAGAAAUCUUUGUUCAUCAUAGGCCGUAUUUCUUUUUGCUUCGUUUAAUACCAUUAGCUGAGGGUUUGGGAACAACCUUGAGACGUUCUGAUUCUGAAGGAGUACUAGUUUUGACAAUUAGGAUUCUGUUCGUUGCCUAGGAAAACGAAACCGAAAAGCUUUCCUUGAAGCUUGUGGUUCACUGCUUCCCACCUUGAGCUCCUGCCAUUGGAUGCCAGGAAGGCAUCACACCUCGUACAGCGAGAGCAUAGAAUAAACACUGUGCAGCUGUGAACAGCAGCCCGCGCGAGCACUGUUAAGUCAGGUGUUCCUUGUAGCCAGUGGCUUUGGGUGUGAAGAAUGCUUCUCCCAGCCUAAGCCCAGUGAGAGGCAAAUAUCUUGUUCAUACAACAGAUGUGUUUGAACCUGGUCCUUUUGGAUGCUGAAGGAAAAACUAAUGGAACAACUGACCUCAGGCCUGCCUAAGUAGUGGUCCCGACAAAAAGUAAAUGGAGAUAAAUUACGUUUUGGCUUGCUAGAGCACUCCUGUCUCCAUCGCCAGGUUUGAUUUAUGCAGGAGUGCUUGCUGCUGCCUUUGAACAUACAGCAAACAAACUUUCUCUGCUACAUGCAGAUUUGAGGAAGGCACCGAAGCAGGUCGCUAUUGGGUGCACAUCCAGGGUGCUUGGAGAAACCCAUCAGCCAUUCUGCUGCAAUACAGAACUCACGUACGUAUUUAAACUAGGCGGCGUGAAAUGGAACAAAUUGGGCCAUAAGCCAGGCAAUACAAUAACUGCUAAAUGGGCAGGCAUCCUAAAAGUGCUGUAGGGAAAUGACAUGUUGCUAGAGACCAGACUAGAAGGUGGCAUUGUGGCAUGUGUCAGGGCUGGGAGCUUGCCAGUCUGACUGUCAUUUUCUGAAUUAUUUGGGUGGAGAUAUGGAGGGAAGUGUUGCUUUUAAGUUUGGUUGUUGUUUGUGGAGUUGUUUCAAGGAUGCUGGGUAGUGUUUAUUCUCUCCUUCCUUCAUCAAAAUUUAUCACAAAGAUAAAAGCAGCAAAUGUGGCUCCCUUUCUAUCUUAGGAAAUAUUCCUGUCAUUUUUUUUCUUCACUCAAAGGAAGAUAGAAAUCAUAAAAAUACUAGCAAUUCUGGACUUUGGAAUUGUACAUUGUGGAAUUUUUUAUUAUGUUCUUUUUCCCUUUUGGACACAGUCUCAUGUAGUUUAGUCUGAUGUUACACUCACUGUGUUGCUGAGGAUGAGACCUGCCCACUCAACAACAACAACUACUACUACUUCUUCUUCC
rnacentral:lncRNA from 1 species